GGGUAAAAUGUUCAUUUCAUAGUAGUUUUGCCAGUUUUCUUCUUCUACUCACUGUUUUUAUUACAUUAAGAACAAAGGAAGAUAACCAUAAGGCAACACUUCAUUUUUCUCCAGAGUAAAAUGCAUGCAAAGAUCAACCAUUUGACUCCCCUGUCAAAUGUUUAGCUGCUUUCCUCAGUCCUCCAUAGUGUUAAAUUGUGACGCAGGUAGGGAACAGCCCCCACCCCCUCACCCCGUCUGACCUGUGCAUCUGUUGGUGAAAGCUCUGCAGUCAUAUUCCCCUGUUUUCACGUGCUCGGAGCAGCAGUGCAGAAAUGCUCGAGCAGAUGAUCAUAGCAAUGUCUGUUCUCCUGACCCUCUUCCAUGCCGAACUUACUGAAUCCUCCUCAAGCUGCUAUCAUGAGCAAGCCGAAAUAAAAAGAGUGGAUGAAAAUGCAACAGCAUUUGUGUCCUGUCCAGCACUUGCAGUGCAUAAAAAACCAUCUAUCACUCUAUACAAGGGAAAUACAAAGCUGCACUCAACAAACCUGAGUGAUGUGGACAGUAAUAAAACAUGGCAGCGUUUUCAGGUGUACAUACAAAACUCCUCAGUCUCAUAUAAGAUUUUAAGGACUGAAGCCAAUGACACAGGACUCUACAACUGUGUAAUCGACACGCACAUCAGGACAAAGGAUUCACUAACUAUGUUGCUCAUUAAAGACGGUCUGCUGCCCAUAGAAUCAACUGUAACUUGUCCCACUGAUCAGAUACUGCCACUUAUUGUUGGCUGUGUGGUCAUCAUUGUAUAUAAUCUGUUCGUCACUGUCUUUGGCUGUUACCUCAAAUAUAAACUCAAGAACACAGAGCCAGCUGAGAAUCCCUACAUAAACACAAGACCAAGAGGAUUCAGACGACGCUAA
ensembl:lncRNA